rnacentral:rRNA from 1 species
CAAUAGCGUAUAUUUAAGUUGCUGCAGUUAAAAAGCUCGUAGUUGGAUUUCGGGUGGGAAUGGCCGGUCCGCCGUUUCGGUGUGCACUUGCUACGCCCACCUUGCUGCCGGGGACGUGCUCUUGAGUUCACGCUCGGGACACGGAGUCGGCGAGGUUACUUUGAGGAAAUUAGAGUGUUCACGGCAGGCAAUCGCCUUGAAUAUAUUAGCAUGGAAUAAUAACAUAGGAUCUUUGUCCUAUUUUGUUGGUUUCUAGGGCUGAGAUAAUGAUUAAUAGGGAUAAUUGGGGGCAUCUGUAUCAACGCGUCAGAGGUGGAAUUCUUGGAUUGCGUUGCGACAAACUACUGCGAAAGCAUUUGCCAAGGAUGUUUUCAUUGA